GGAGACACCUCAGGCAGAAGGUGUGUGGGCCAUGAAACGAGCCCAAAUACAGACCGCCACAUGACGAUGAGCGGAGACACCUCAAAUAGAAGGUGUGUGGGCCAUAAAACGAGCCCAAGUACAAACCGCCACAUGACGAUGAGCGGAGACACCUCAAAUAGAAGGUGUGUGGGCCAUAAAACGAGCCCAAGUACAAACCGCCACAUGACGAUGAGCGGAGACACCUCAGGCAGAAGGUGUGUGGGCCAUGAAACUAGCCCAAGUAGAAACCGCCGCAUGACGACGAGCAGAGACACCUCAGGCAAAAAGGUGUGUGGGCCAUGAAAGGAGCCCAAGUACAGACCGCCUCAUGACGACAUGCGGAGAGACCUCGGAUAUAAGGUGUGAGGACCAUGAUAUGAGUCCAAGUUCAAACCGUCUCAUGACGACAGGCGAAGACACCUCAGAC
rnacentral:lncRNA from 1 species